CAAGAGUAGCGAUUCCGUUCGGUUGUGUGCGAAUUGCAGAGUGCGCCAUCAUUGUCCAUAUCCUUCCUUGAUCGUCUCGUUCCGGACACGUGUCCGUCUUUCAUCAAGGAAUAUCCAUGCAAACAGGCAUCGUAAAGUGGUUCAACGCUGACAAGGGUUUUGGUUUCAUUACCCCUGAAGAUGGCGGCAAAGAUCUUUUCGCCCAUUUCUCCGAAAUCCAGGGCAACGGCUACAAAGAGCUGCGCGAAAACCAGCGCGUGAGCUACAUCGCCGGCCAGGGCGCCAAGGGCCCCCAAGCCACCAAGAUCACGCCGCUGUAAAUAUCGGCGGCUUACCCGGCUGCCGCGCCAUGCGGCAGCCCAUGCAGACAAGCCCUCGCAAGAGGGCUUGUUUGUU
rnacentral:other from 1 species